rnacentral:rRNA from 1 species
CAUGGCAGCUAGCUCUCUGCAACUUCCACAUGGUAGCCCACUAAAGCUAAGCAGGGCUGUGCUUGGUCAGUACUUGGACGGGAGACCACAUGAGAAAGCUGGGUUGCUGCUGGAU